GGUCCUCCAGAGGCCAUUGAUGCUCCCUGACGGCUAUGUUCUGAGGGUCCACUGACAGGCACCUGCAGAGCUGGUACCUUUGCGCUGCGGACUUCAACCUCUGGGCAUGCACAUAGAGGACUUGUGCCUUGUGUCUCCUCCAAGCAAGAACUUGAAUGUUGUUUGGAAUACCACUCACCUCAUUUGUUUAAUCAUGACAAAUACCUCAGAAGCUUUUGAGCUCAUCUCCUCACAACUAGAUUGCCUUCUUCCUGGUUCAUUUAUGGUAAAAAGCAAGCCGAAGAAGUGACGCGGGUGAAGGUCUCCAAACUCAGCCACCGUGGUCACUUCAUGGGAAGCAUGGAAGAAGAGAGGCUGCAUUUGGUACAAACCUACAUGCUAUGUGUUUGUCACAUGAUCUUCAAAAAACAAAACAAAAACCCACCUCCGGCAAAAGACUAAUGAAGACUCCUUGCUCUUGCAUAUUUUCUUGAGUUUCUAGACCUGAGCAAGUAUACACAGCACAUUUUCCACCCGAGAAAGCAUGCUACAAGGCAGAAAGCCUUGAGCUUGACGAGAGCUUGCCCAUCCAACAGGUCUAGUACAGAGAGAGCCAUUUUUCCUGGGAAACCCUCAGUCUUCUUGGCCAUUGCCAGUUCUCAUCAGGGUAGGCUCCCAGAUGGGCACUGUUCAGGUUGUUAGCCAGGUGUCCUCAACCAAUUUUUUUUAAACAAACAAACAAACAAACAAAGCAGGCCUUUGUUAUCCAAAAAAAAAAAAAAACAUGUGAGUCAACAUAUUUUCUCUUAAGCUCCGAAAGAAUUCCUAAGAGAACUCUUAUGCUACGUGCUUAGCACCAAUACUUAGUUGAACUGUGAAGAACUUUCCAGUAGACUGCUGCAGAGUCAGGGUCCAUCUCACUACGUCUAUUCUUGAUGUCGUUAAAAGAAAAAGGAAGGAGGGAGGGAGGGAGGAAAAGAAGAAAGACAAAAGGAAGGAAGAGGAAGGAAGGAAGGAAGGAAGGAAGGAAGGAAGGAAGGAAGGACAUCCUCAGUGGGUAAAGUAUGCUCACUUGCCAUGCAAACCUGACGACCGUGAAAAAAGCCACACACUACAGCUCUGCGAUCUCAAUGCAUCCCUAUGGCGAGAUGAGAGAUCAAGACAAUGGUCUUGAGAAGCUCAUGGGGCAGCUAGUACAGGUUACAUAAUGACAAAGAGAUGUGCUCUUAAGAAUAAACUAACAGUUUCAACUGACA
rnacentral:lncRNA from 1 species